rnacentral:lncRNA from 1 species
CUCUCGCCUUCAUGUACUGCAUUGCCAGAUCUCGCUGCGACCUGACGUGCACAGCUACGGAUUCAAAGGCAGUUGUCUCUCGCUGCUUGCCCUCGACAACGGCAUCCAUAUGUCUGCAGUAUGUUUGCUGAAUGGCGAACCAGCGCCGCAGGCUUCCCUCUUGCAUCCAUUUAUCAAACCACGGAGUUCUACAAAGGCACAAACGCAGACAAGUAAGCAUGAUCUUGAAUCCUGAAGCUAUGCAUGAUGUGACACCGCUCACCUGUAGACAGGGUUGUCCGGAUACAGAGCAUAGAACAGGGGGAGGUCCUGAAAGAAGAUGGGCUCGAACAGCUCCCGAUAGCAGCGCAGAAGACGCUCAUUAGCGAGAUCCUUGGCUUCCACGCUCAGCUUCGCAUUUUUCAGAGACAAGCACAAGGGCAUCAGCUUCACAUGGAUCUGACGCAGGGAACCAGGGGAACAGGAGGAAAGCCCGCUCACCUUCCGCAAGUCGUCGAGCAUGCCAUGCACGGUGAGUCGUGAAGCAUAGGCAGCAAUUCCGGGAAGUCGCGGGGAUGCAGAUCAGCUCGUGGCAAGUAGUACUCUCGGCGCCCGCCAAAGUCAGCAAUGUUAGCAAGGGCAUCGCCUGGGGGCAACAUCACAUACGACUUCUCAACGAUACCACGAUCCCAAAGGCCCACACUCUCCAGGUCCUCCAGUGCGGUACUCCACUUCGUGCGAGCCUUGAGUGGAAAUACCUUGCGAGUCAGGUGCGUCCGCUGUACUACAUUAGUAAUACCGGCUGCCUCCAUGGCCUUCUGGAAAUCGCUGAUGUGUGAGACCCUAGUGAUAUCCGAGAGAAUGUUCCCGUUGUUCACAACCUGCAAACAGCUCAUCAUGUUGAGUGCUCAUCACAAAUGAAAGCCAUGCUUAGCAUUAAUCCAUCCAAAAUUACCUUCCACUCGUAGUACACUGCUUUGCCUUUGUCUACAGGGGGAAGCCCAGAGCCUGAAAGCACCACUUCCGAGCCGUCAACCGCAUCCACUAUAUGGGUCCCGAUAGCCACCUGCUGUAAGUAAAUCAACACAGUCAUCCAGAACCAAGGGCAAAGGUACCAGAGCCGAUGGCGUGUCGACACCACGUUCAACUGCUCGUUGCCUGCGUUGACCUUAGCAGCCGUUGUUGUGAAAACACAGACUUCAAUUGCCUUGUCCGGGAUCAUACAGCUGGGGCUAGGCGGGUACCAUUGCAGCGCCAAACAGCAGUACCGCAAAUCUCGCACAGUGCAUCCACGCGAAAAGGUGUUAGCAGACAGCGCAACCUCAAACGCUGCCUGGGCCCCAUUCCAGGCCUGCUGAACUGUACAUGUGCCACGGGUCGGACCAGCAAAAAAGUCAAUCAUUGCCUUCACGUGGUCGUCAGUAAUGUCGUCAGGCAGUACGGUCCCUGGAUCCCUCCUACAGGCAAACGAUACAACGGCACCGAAGAAUUGUACUGUCGUACUGGCAAUAUUGAGUACCGAGAGAACGGACAGUACCGGGCUAGCGGGUGUAUACCUUGAUUCACGUUUCCGCUUGUUCUCCGUCUCUUUAACGGAUGACAGCACUGUACUGAUGGUGGGGUCCUCGGUGAUGUUCAGUUCACGAGGAACAGCCAUCCCAGUUACAAGCACGUGCUGCAAUGUCUGCAUCCACGCCAGGGCCGCAAUCCACUGCCGACAGUCACUGCAAUUAAGCUCUGCGGCACCGUUAGCAAUGGUCACGUCAUGCACUUAAGUAACAGGCAACACCAACAAUCAACAGCAUGGAGGCUCACCGUGGCUGGAGGAUGGGUCUGCAUUAUCAUCUGCACAUUCCGCACCAUCCUGCCCAUUAUCCCCAUCAUCAUCAGCAGCCGCUCGGCGCCCCUGCCUUGCCGCUG